AAACGUGUUUCAUUUCCAGUUCAGGCUCAGACCGGCCAACAGCUUUUCCCCGUACUCUCAUUUCCGUGCGUCUCGAUUGUGAACCCUCUCACACUUGCGGAUCCAUUUGAGUAUUUUUAUUAUAAAAAAAAAAUUGAGAAAACCGUUCUGUGCUUUGUGUUUUUUCUAAAUUACUUUGGUUUAAAAACGAGUGGAGAUGGAUUCUCCAAUUUGACACAUCCGAAGGAUUUUUCGUGAAAAAAGAAUUGGUGAAAUCGGAUCAAUAUGAAAAUUCUUUUUGGGUCCUUCAUGGAAAAUGGAGUACAAUGCUGCCAGAGCGGGUGUCCUAUUUCUGUUCAAUAAAAAAAACUUUCAACCUGAUCAUACUGAAGGACUGCUACUCCUGAUGGAUAGAAAUCAUUAUGGACGAUGCUUCAUUUAAAAGCAAACAAAUUUAAUGUCAGAACAGAAAAACUUUCAACCUGAUCAUACUGAAGGACUGCUACUCCUGAUGGGUAGAAAUCAUUAUGGUCGAUGCUUCGUUUAAAAGCAAUCAAAUUUAAUUCAGAACAGGUCCACACCUCCAAGAUGUGUUGAAUAAAGUUCCUAGUUUAAGCUAAUUAAAAACCACCUGGAAGCGGACCUAAAAAAACCCACACUUUAUAUUGAUUUUAAUGAUUAUUGUUCAAAGUGUUAAUAAAAAUCUGUUGUAUUUUUCAGAAAAACUUUCAACCUGAUCAUACUUAGGGACUGCUACUCCUGAUGGAUAGAAAUCAUUAUGGACGAUGCUUCGUUUAAAAGCAAUCAAAUUUAAUGUCAGAACAGAAAAACUUUCAACCCGUAUCAUACUGAAGGACAGCUACUCCUGAUGGAUAGAAUUCGUUAUGGACAUUAUGCUUCGUUUAAAAGCAAACAAAUUUAAUGCCGGGUUUCAGGGAGGCUUCUGAAUCACCUUCGUUCUCAAGUCUUGUCUGCUGAUCAGAAACAUCAGCUGGACUCGAAUAUAUUUCAAAACAUUCUGAUCGCCACAAAACUUAACUUUCAAGGUGCUUUAUCCAAGACGUUGUCUUGAUUCCGUGGUAAAUAAGCUUUGAAACUACUAUAUCGUCUUAACACCAUCGAAUUUUGUAACAAACCACUUUUUUAUGGAAAAAACCGACUCGUCAAAUAUCAAAAAUCCAUGUCUAUUUAUGGAGCUUUUAAUUAAUAAUUAAAUUUAAUUAAAACUAGAAACACUCAGUUGUUCUGUCAA